rnacentral:rRNA from 1 species
AUUGAACGCUGGCGGCAGGCUUAACACAUGCAAGUCGCACGAGUGGCGGACGGGUGAGUAAUGCUUGGGCAUCUGGUUUAUGGAGGGGGAUAACGACGGGAACCUGUCGCUAAUCCCGCGUACCAUAGGUUCAGCCCAAGUGGGAUUGGGUAUUUGGUGGGGUAAUGGCCUACCAAGCCGCCGCUCUCUAGCUGGUCUGAGAGGAUGACACGCCCAGCCGGGACGGAACCACAGCCCGGGCUACUACGGGAGGAAGCAGUGGAGAAUAUUGCGCAGUGGGGGCAACCUGACGCAGCCAUGCCGCGUGAAUGCAGAAGGCCUUCGGGUUGUAAAGUUCUUUCGGUGAAGAGGCGUUAAUCACAGAAGAAGCACCGGCUAACUCCGUGCCAGCAGCCGCGGUAAUAC